rnacentral:rRNA from 1 species
UGUGAAAGCCCGGGGCUCAACCUCGGAAUAGCAUUUGAAACUGGCAGACUAGAGUACUGUAGAGGGGGGUAGAAUUUCAGGUGUAGCGGUGAAAUGCGUAGAGAUCUGAAGGAAUACCGGUGGCGAAGGCGGCCCCCUGGACAGAUACUGACACUCAGAUGCGAAAGCGUGGGGAGCAAACAGGAUUAGAUACCCUGGUAGUCCACGCCGUAAACGAUGUCUACUUGGAGGUUGUGGCCUUGAGCCGUGGCUUUCGGAGCUAACGCGUUAAGUAGACCGCCUGGGGAGUACGGUCGCAAGAUUAAAACUCAAAUGAAUUGACGGGGGCCCGCACAAGCGGUGGAGCAUGUGGUUUAAUUCGAUGCAACGCGAAGAACCUUACCUACUCUUGACAUCCAGAGAACUUUCCAGAGAUGGAUUGGUGCCUUCGGGAACUCUGAGACAGGUGCUGCAUGGCUGUCGUCAGCUCGUGUUGUGAAAUGUUGGGUUAAGUCCCGCAACGAGCGCAACCCUUAUCCUUGUUUGCCAGCGAGUAAUGUCGGGAACUCCAGGGAGACUGCCGGUGAUAAACCGGAGGAAGGUGGGGACGACGUCAAGUCAUCAUGGCCCUUACGAGUAGGGCUACACACGUGCUACAAUGGCGCAUACAGAGGGCGGCCAACUUGCGAAAGUGAGCGAAUCCCAAAAAGUGCGUCGUAGUCCGGAUUGGAGUCUGCAACUCGACUCCAUGAAGUCGGAAUCGCUAGUAAUCGUGGAUCAGAAUGCCACGGUGAAUACGUUCCCGGGCCUUGUACACACCGCCCGUCACACCAUGGGAGUGGGCUGCAAAAGAAGUAGGUAGUUUAACCUUCGGGGGGACGCUUACCACUUUGUGGUUCAUGACUGGGGUGAAGUCGUAACAAGGUAGCGCUAGGGGAACCUGGCGCUGGAUCACCUCCUUAAACGAUGAU